CCUGAUUCCUCACUAGAAGCUGUGCUGGUGCCUCUCGUUUCUCAGUGUCACUCCUGUUUAGGCUUGUAGCUGUCAGGGAACCUCACAGGUGGAAAGUUACAGACAUUCCGGGGCCUGCCAUAAAGCACACCCACUCUCCCCACAGGGAGAUGAGGAAUUUCCCGGCUACAGGGUCCGGAUCAGUGUGUACGGAACAGGAUAGACAGGGUUCUUGAAGACACAACUAAAUGAAAAUGGAUGAAAUCAGAAUGGAGCCUAAUCCGAGGUGACUGCUGUCUUUGUGAGAACAGGGAAGGAACACACAGGAAGGCUCCAGGGGUGCGUGUGAGGACAGAGCAAGGAGGUGGCCUGUCUGCCAGCCAAGGAAAAGAAACCAGCCCUGCUGACAACCGGCCCUCAGACUGCCAGCCCAGUGGGAAAACUCAUUCUGUUAUCUAAGCCACUCUGUCUGCAACGAUUGGUUAUGGCGGCCCUAAAAAAUGAGUACAUUUUCCGUCUUUGUACUGUAAAGUUGUUGUUGUUUAAUAGAUUGUCUCUUUUCUUGGGUUUAAGGAAUAUCUUCAAAAAGAGCUUGUUUUAUUGAUGAACUUGGUGUAUUAGGAACCAUCUCGGGAGGCUCUUGGCAAACACAGAAGGGGAUGAACGAGAGCACAUGCCUACCCGCUGUACAGAUCUCGCAACUGCAGAGAUAAUUGGAGAAGAUAGAUCUAUCUGCAAAGACACAAAAGGCAGAUCUCUGGAAUGGACAAGGAAGGUAUCUUCGAUCGAAGCUGUGGGAGGAGCUUUGGACUUGGCUAAGAGCCAGAGCCCUGUAGAGGGAGCGCCAGAGAGCCACUGCGAAGACCCCAGGGGACCAGGAUGCAGCUAAGUCACCUGGAUGCGGAGAAGCUUCUGGGUCCCCACUCUACCUCGCAUCUCUUCUAGAAGGUGCCAGCUGGUGGCUAUGCUUGCACUGGAGCCUUUGCAUAGCCUACGUGGCUGUCAGUGAGGCCACAGGGCCAUUGCAGGCAAUAGUCCAGCUGCACCCCAAGAGAUAGCCUAGAACCAAAGCAUUUCCCACAGCAUUCCUAGAAACUACUUAUGCGUGUCACUCAGAAAACCCAAAUCCUAUCAUUUCUUAGAUGUCAGCUGUGCAGAUACGUCUCUCAACGUUAGAUUGUCUGUUGGAAAAUAUAACUGGAUACCAGAAGUGUCAGAAACCUGGUUCAUACCACUCUUCACAAGGGGAGGCCUGCAAAAACACAGGCAGGAAGGAAUCACCCACUGCUGCAGCCAUGGGCCUGUCAGGCUCGCUCUUAAUUCCUGCCCAGGGCUUGCUCUCUAAAGCCGUGCUGGCUCUGCCUCCAUUUCCCACUUCAUCCAGAGCAAACAUGGCUUCCCGUGCUUGUCCUGGUACCACGAUGCCAUAGCGUCCCCUCAGCCCACUUCCAGAUAAGGGGGCCAUCUGACAAAGAAAGGUCAGGCCGGCUUUGCAUCUAGACUAGCAAGGCUCUUGUUUGUAUGUUGAGGGCACGAAUCUGUAAGUCCUGAGUUUAUUUUGUCCCCAUCUGUGUUGAUUUUUAAAUGGCCUCAUAGGCUCACAGGGAGUGAGUGGCACUAUUACAAGGUGUGGCCUUGUUGCAGGAAGUGGUCACUGGAAUGAGGGUUAGGGAGGGGGCGCUUUGAGGUUUCAGGAGCUCAAGCCAGGCCUGGGAUCACUCUUUCUUUCUCCUUCCUGCCAAUCCAGAUGUAGAAGUCUCGGCUACUUCCCAGUACUGUGUCUGCCUGCACGCUGCCAUGUUUCCUGCUAUGAUGACAGUGGACUAAACCAACUCCAA
rnacentral:lncRNA from 1 species